CGAGUUAGCCAGGCAAUCGCUGCUGUUUAACAGGAGAGGAAAGUCCGGGCUCCUCGAGGCAAGGUGCCAGGUAAUACCUGGGGGGCGUGAGCCUACGGAAAGUGCAACAGAGAGCAGACCGCCGACUCAGUCGGUAAGGGUGAAAGGGUGCGGUAAGAG
rnacentral:RNase_P_RNA from 1 species